rnacentral:lncRNA from 1 species
AGUGCUGUGUAUGCAGCCAUAUAGUGAAUGCCUUCAUUUGCACCCUGAACUCUGAAUAGUCACUUUUAAAACAUCCAUCUGUCAUCCAUCUAGUGAGGUCAGGAGAGUGGCUGCUUAACUUCUGGGGGUUGCAGAAAAGGAAGAAGAAUCAGCAGAGAGCAUUUGUGGCCAGCAAAGCUUAAAAUAUUUCCUAACCGAUCCUUUGCAAAAAAAGUUCACCCACUCCUGUAGUCAGCAGCUCCCCUACUGUGCGCAGUCAGUGUGCCAUCUCAGACUAGCAAAGUUGUCCAGAGAGGAAAGACAGGCCAAAAUAGUUCAGUAUGCUGUCUUACUGGGAGGACAACAGCUUAAGCCACAAAGCCCUGAGUUUGACCCUAGAACUCUGUGGCUACUGGUGACUCAUCUUGAAAAUUAUCAGAUUGAAUCUUCUCUACCGGUUUGAUAACAACUGAUGAGUGGAAAAAGAACGCCAAUCAAAUGUGCAUGCUUAAUAAGCAGCCUCCUUAUUCCCCUCUGCAGAUUUGUGCUUGGAUCAUCUACACUUCCCUGAAUGUUGAAGAAGAUAUGCUAUCCAUGCAAUCCUUGUCGACUGCUUGAUUAAAAAGUGGAUAAACUGUCUUCAGGCCCUUGGAGUAUGGUGUCUGUGUGAAGAAGGGAAUGAGGCAGAAGUAGCAGUCAGUGGUGGCUGAAGUAGGAGAAAGUGCUUGCUAAUGAAAUCUUGAUUUUUCUGUGGCUUUUCUGUGCAAUUGGGUGGCUAAGUAGGAAAGCCAUUGGAGCUUCACUGUAUCAAUUCUGCCUUUCUUGUUUUUUGGAACUCCAAUUCACCAAGGCUCCCUGCCACCCUAUCCAUCUAUAACUUUUCAUCACUUUUUCCUCAAAGUAAGAAGUGUGUCCCAGAAAAUGUGCCUUUGUGACUCAGCAACAUUUCAAAUCCAUCUGAGCCUUCCCAGCGUUCCAAAAGAAAUACUGAUUUGAAUUCAGCUGCUUAAAAAACCAGUCUCUAAGCAGACAGCUUGAAACUUCCUUACAGCAAUAGUUUAGGCUUUGGAGGGGAAAUUGGUUUGUUUUUAAUUGUUUUAAUUUUUCAUUCAAUUCAUUUGCCGCCUGAUUAUAUAUGAUCUUUUGAGCCCAAUACUCUGCUAAAUUAACCUUGACUUUCUUUCUCUCUUUCUCUCUCUCUCCUUCUCUCUUUCUUCCUUUCUUUCUUUCUUUUUGACAGAGCCUUGCUCUGUCGCCCAGGCUGGAAUGCAGUGGCACAAUCUCAGCUCACUGUAAACUCCGCCUCCAAAGUUCAAGCAAUUCUCCUGCCUCAGCCUCCUGUGUAGCUGGGAUUACACACGCCAGCCACCAUGCCUGGCUAAUUUUUGUAUUUUUAGUAAAGAUGGAGUUUCACCCUCUUGGCCAAGCUGGUCUCGAACUCCUGACCUCAACCUUGGCCUCUCAAAGUGCUGGGAUUACAAGCAUGAGCCACCAUGCCUGGCCUUACCUUGAUUUUUUUUUUUUGAGACAGAGUCUCACUCUGUUGCUCAGGCUGGAGUGUAGUGGCUCGAUCUUGGCUCACUGCAACCUCCAUCUCCCGGGUUCAAGAGAUUCUCCUGCCUCAGCCUCCCAAGUAGCUGGGACUACAGGUGUGGGCCACCACGCCUAGCUAAUUUUUUAUAUGUUUACUAGAGACAGGGUUUCACCAUGUUGGGCAGGCUGGUCUUGAACUCCUGACCUCAGGUGAUUCACCUGCCUCGGCCUCCCAAAAUGCUGGGAUUACAGGUGUGAGCCACCACACCCGGCCCCUACCUUUGAUUUUUAAGUCAAGAGGGAACAAGUCGAAAUUUCUAUUCAGGUAAACUGUAUACCUUUGGACACUGAAUCACUUUUAGAACCCCAGUAAAAAUCAUGUAUGAAUGACCCACAAUUUCACUCCAACAGGAAGGUGUGUAUAUGUGCACAAAAACAUUAGAUUGUUCACACCGGUGCUAUUCAUAAUAGUCAAAAACUGGAAACAACUCAAACAUCCAUCAACUGUAGAAUGGAUAAAUAAAUCAUGAUAUAUUCAUACCAUGGAACAUAACAGUGACAAUAAAUGAACCACUGCUACACACAACAGAUAUGAAUUUCACAAACAGAAUGCUGAGCAACAGAAGCCAAACACAGAAGGAUACACAUUUAUAAAUCCAUUUGUAUGAAGUUCAUAAACAGACAAAAUUAGUCAGUGGAGAUUAUUCUCAUAGAAGUCUGAAGGGUAGUUGUCUUUAGGGAGGGGGAUAUAGUGACUGAGGUGGGUAUAAGGGGUUUCUGGGGUUUGGUGAUGGUACACCAGCAUAUUCACUCUGAAAACUCAUUGAGCUGUGCAAUAAUGAUUUUUCAAACUUUUAUAUGUGUAUGAUAAUGCUUCAAUAAAGCUUUGCUUAAAAAC